rfam:Daphnia magna strain Xinb3 scaffold01847, whole genome shotgun sequence.
GGUAGGAUAGUUUAAUUAAAACUUUUAAAUUGCAAAUUUAAAAAUGAAGUUUCUUCUCCUACUU